ACAAAAUGUCCGCCUGAAGGAUCGGUGAGGCUCACAGAGGCGGUGGGGAGCAGCUGCUCGCUUCUCUUCCCCAUACUCAGGCCGGCCGAGGAGGCGAGGGAGUGUGGCCGGAGAAGGGGAGGGAGUUUAAAAUCUCAGGCCCUGCCGCAGUCAGAUGUUGGGUGGAGACGGGAGGGCGGCUGAGGCCAGGGCCGGCGGGCUCAACAGGAGACCACUGAAGCACCUCAUGAGCUGCGCAGCUGCUGCAUUAAGGCCGUCACUGAAGCCCUCUUUGCUCGGGCGGGGGAACAUAUUCACUUUCUAAUGGAUGAGGCGUUGCAGAGGACCUACGGUUUUGCAGAAUUAGCAGACUUUCCUCAACUGCAGGGGUCUAUUGAUUGCACCCAUGUUGCCAUAAAGGCACCAACUCAUCAACCUGACACCUUCUUGAAUAGGAACUCCAUCCAAUCCUGAAUGUGCAGGUUGUGUGUGACCAAAUCAAGGCUUUUCUGCACGUCUGUACAUGGUAGCCUGGAUGCUGCCAUUCGUAAUUUAUUCUGAGUUGUUUACAACUGAGUCUCCUUUUUGAAACAUCAACACAGGUCCAUGGUUGUCUUCUGGGGCCCAGCAGUAGUCCUUAAGGAGAGAGCUGAUGACCCUCUUUAGGUGCCUGCACACGGAGCCCGAACUCACGGUAUUAUAACAACAGCCAUGUGCUGACCUUCAGUACAAAGCUUUUUACUGGUAUCCUGAAAUUGUGCUUCAGAUGCUUUGAUUGUUCUGGAGGAGCUCUACAGUACUCCCCUGCAAAGUCCUCCUGAACAGUAGUGAUGUGCUGCAGGCUACACAAUAUGGUCCAGCAGAGGGACUUACAAUCAGAGGGGGCAGAAGCCAGGCAUUUAACUGCAACACCUAAGGAGGACGACAAUGAGGAGCAGCAAGAGAAGGCCUUGAUCUGACAUGGAGGAAGAGGAAGACAGUGGCCAUGGCAGAUCAGCAGAGGGGCAGGCCCAUGUAGCCACAGCUGAUUAUUUGCAGGAAGGGGUCAUUGUUUACAACCUGGAGCCUGCACAUAUAUGUUAAUGGCUGUCAAUGAGCUGGUCUAAAUGCCAUCCUGUGCCAACUUAACCCAUGCCCACUAUGCCGAGAGUGCCCUUUAAGUCUGAUCAUUGAUCCCCACCCUCCCUGAAGGACAAUAAUUGAUGGGCAAGAAAUGCUGAAGGAGCAUCUCAACACACAACCCUUGGUGUACUACUACCUUACCUGAAGGUUUAGAGACGAAGAAAGCCUUGCAUUACCGACUGUGCAGGGUCACAUCCUUGCUCAUGAUGGUGUCAAUGAGAAAUGGACUUCAGCUUGCAGUCUUCAGUGCCACUGGCGGAAUAAGAUACAGCAUUUCAAGAAACUCAUCCAGCAGAACUGGACACUUGUGAGAUUUGAGCCUGUGCCCACAGUUUUGUGAAUCCUAUUAACAG